UACAAGUGCAGUUGUGGAUUUCCGUGUCUAAUGUUUGACCGUCCGUCUUAUUUGAAAAAAAAAUGCGAUUAGUAUUUUUAUUGUUAUUAGAUGAUAAAAUAUAAAUAGUACUUUACGUGUGACUAUUUUUUUUAAUUUUUUCAUAAAUUUUUCAAAUAAGACUUAUAGUCAAAUGUUGUACGGAAACCGACAAUUGUGCUUACA
rfam:Oryza meridionalis cultivar OR44 (W2112) chromosome 6, whole genome shotgun sequence.